rnacentral:lncRNA from 1 species
GAACGAUACAGAGAAGAUUAGCAUGGCCCCUGCGCAAGGAUGACACGCACAAAUCGAGAAAUGGUCCAAGUUUUUUUGCCGGCGGUCGGCUCUGAGCUCCGGUAGACAAAUCUGUAUUUGUUUUAUCAAUCGCCGGCGUUGAGGUUCGUAAGUUGCUCGGAAUUUCUUUCAUCUGUUUUAUUUCCUGUUUCCCCUAAUUUAGCUGACGGCGAUAGGCAUAUUAUUGUGCCCUAGUUUUUUUCUUCCUUUUAAGAAUCCUGAUAUUACUGUUGUUGUGAAAUUCACUCAUGUUACAUCUGAAACAUUUAUGACUAUGAACAAUUAAGUACUUUAUUCCACUCUCAUUUGGUUUUUGGUGGAUUAAGUGUGGGAUUGCCCAAUACUUGUGCUGGCAGGAGCUAGCAUACACUAAUAAAAUAGUCGAGCUGCGUGCAAGCUUGCUCAGACUGUCAGACACCAUUGUUAUUGAAUACAGUUGCGUGUUUGCUAUUCAGAAUCGACAAUUGUUUGUAGAUUCGUUCUACUAUCUUUAAGCUACUUACACAUUUUAGCUGCUUUUUGUGCAAUGUUUUUACUCCAUCCUUUUAUACUUUUUAAGUCGAGUAAGCUUGUUCAAAUUGUUGGUGAACUCUUUUAUGAUAUUUCUCUCCUAGUAAUGUGGCAGCGUAUAAAUAAUUAUGCAGUUCGUGGGAUCUAUCUCUGAUUCCCGGAAGAUGGUGGAAGUUGGUUCAACAGAUGGACUGCAAAAUGAGAAGACAAUUGUAGCUAAUGAAGUGUAUGAACUAUAAUAAAAUUGCUCGUCUCUUCGAUGCAGCCUGUUGUCUAAGCCACUAGUUUUGUAUUUCAAAAAUGGGUACCACUGCUACAGCCUACAUGACUAUUGUGUAUCCGAAUAGCAUAAUCAAACAAUCUGUUGUUUAUCAAGUUCUCCCAGAAAGCACUUGUAAUGCAGUAGAAUAUAAGCAUUAUUAUAUUCUUAUGUGUUAUGUUUGGGAUGUUUAAAUUGUGAAUAUCAUAUGGCAUAUGUUAUUUCAGGGUACCUUCGUGAUUUUACUGUGAUUCUCCUAAUUCUUUACCAAGUGAAGUGAAUUGGAGUAGUUACUUCUUUUAUUUCCAUCUCAUGUUUUGCUUAAUACCUAGUUGAAUUGUUUAAUGUGGAACGCGCAUUAUGUUUGCCUUCGUACUUAAUGAUACUGCUGUUUUUCUUGGCAGAUUCACAGUGGAUACCUCUGUAUCUAGAGGUUGUAGGCACCUCUGGAAAUGUGACUACUGAGGAUGUUGCUUUCAUGCUUAAUAUAGACUAGGAUUGAACACAAAUUUGGAUCUGAUAAAGCUUACAUUGGCUGGAGACUUUAUUUACGAUCAUUUUGGGUUGGCUUUCUUGUUAUGUGCCUUUGGCAUGUCACUCUGUGGCGGUAGUGACUCCGCUGUGGGAAAGAACUGCUUCCUUCUUGCUUGAUAGGGGGAGGGGAUGCUUCCGUUCAUCAGUGCAGACUAUAAGUGCUCUCCGAAUCGUGGUGGAUAGUUACUCAUCACACGGCUCAAGUUAGGGGUUGGAUGUAGAAUAAGAAUCUUAUGUUAAUGAAUGUUUUGUGGAAGAUAAGAGUUAUAGCAAGUGAUGUAUGUGUUGAUAAUUUGUAGGACAAUAGCAUAAUGGUAAUUUGUGCUUACACUCAUUCACAAUGGUUCAUCGUGCUAUUUUGGGCCUUUUUCUAUUCAGUUUAAGGUGGAAAUGUAUCAACCUUUUAUUUAUUAUCUUUAUAAUAUCUUAUUGGUUUUUUCUUCAUAUUUAUUUUGAUCCAUAUAUUAUAAAAAUUCAUAAAGAAAGACAAUGAUAAAUUCAAAUUAUCAGGCAUAUGUCUUUCUAAAUUCUAAUGAUAGAAGAUUAUUUUCGCCAAACUC